UGAAAAGACUGUCAUUUCCCCACUGCUCCACAUGUCCACCUUUGUUUUUCAACUCUAUUCUGCUGCUAUCAAUACACCUGACUACAUUUCAGUCUUCAUCAGUCUGAGUUUUCUUUUUCCAAGAAAUUCCAAUCUUAUUUUGGUAAAGGUCUCUUCUAUUACAUCUUUGAAUUUUUUUUUAUUCCUUCUGCUUUAUUCUUUAACCCAGGAUAUCAAGUAUCCACAAGUUCAAAACUCAUCUUCUGCGAACCAUAUCCUUCUUUCUCUAAUGGUUCUCAUUCCUUUGACUUUUUCCUCCACAUUAUGUGCAAUUUUUUUCAAGCUUGCCCUUCCUUGUACUAAUUCCAGUUUCUGUCCGGUACUCUGAUGAACAUCUCAGUUCUGUGGAUUAUUCAGUCCUUGCCUUUUCCCUAGCUCUGCGAUCUCUCUCCUCCCCUUUCUGUUGUCCUAGCAUCUCAUCUUUAAUCUCGGGUCAUAAAUGUCAUGUUCCGUUUAACAUCUUUGAUAAAAUAAGGCUUUUGUUUUUCUGUUUCCUCAAGGUAACAUCUUCUACAAUCGAUUCUUCAUGUCUUUUAUCUGUUUUGUUCUUUUUUGUUGUAUGUGAAUACCAUAUUUUUUUCAUUUACUUAUUUUUUACAGCAGCAGCUCAAUCUGGAUUUCUUUGUGCCUAAAUCUAACAAACAUAGAGUCUCCUUGGCUUCCCUCCUGUGUCAUCAGAGCCCACUAGUGCCUUUCCUUCAACUAGCAUUGAGAAGGUAAUGGAGCUAAGGUGUAUGGACAGUCACAACUGGUGACCUUACCUGUCAACAAAAUUAUGUUAAAACUCAAAUUUUAGAGAUCACUCCCCCUACUCGAGUAUACAGCCUUUUAGGAACCACUCUUGAGUUUAGGACUGUAGGUGAAUGGGCGUGAACAGGCUUUCUGGAAACUGCCUUGACAACAAUCCCUGUUCAUACUCAAGCCGGCAGACAAUCUGGCAACCUCCACCCCCUGUACCCGCCCCAGGCAGCUCCGGGGCAGGCACAAGCUGUGAAAGGACAGUGUUUACCCAGCUGGGGUAAUAAAUUCUCCCAGAGCACUGAGACAUAUUUAACGUAGAAUGAGUGUUGACAUAUGUCAUUUUCCCAGGGAAGAGUUUUCUAACGUUGCACCAUAGAAAUGGACUGGCAAAAUGACUCUCCACACAUGCAUGAACUCUUUUCUAUUAAGGAUGGUUACAUCUUGAGCACAAGAGGAAAACUGCUGCCUUGUAUUAAACUGAAUUCUAAGUGGUAAAAAAGAUAACUCCGUCUUCCUUCCGGAAACUUGGCAUGACCCCUGGCUCUGACUGGGAGCUUCUCUUCUCUGUUCCCACGGUGUCCUGUGAACCCAUCAACCACACCACUUACAGCACAAUGGUGAAACCACUGACCUGCAUGCCCGUCCUCUCUCCCACACUAUACACUCUAUCCUAUUCAUCUCUGGCAUUCUAACAUCUGGGCAGAGGCUGUUUCCUAGCAAUGGGCUCAGGCUGGGUAAAAUCACCUGGAACAAAAUGUCAUGGGUCCCUUCCUGCUCUGUGAGUAUCCUGCCAUACGCACACUUAUCCACCCUGCCUGCUCCUCCCCUUGGCCGGCAGCCUAAGGACUAUUAAUACAGAACAGCGUGAUCAGCUCCCACGGCCUUUGCCCAUGACCACCUGCCACAUCGCUUUCAGCAUCACGCUCCGCUUUCAGUACAAAACAGGAAGGAAAAGUGGCACGGGCAACACAGCAACUGAAAUGUGGUCGCAGGGCCUUCACCGUCUUGCACAGUGGAAGCAACCCGUGUGUGAUGUGAGAGCUCCGUGUAAAAAGCAGUCACGAAGCUGCGGUAUUGGAAGGAUCUGCACAUCAUCUGGCAAUCAGCAAGGAAUGGACCAACAAAGAGGGAGCUCAGAGGAACAGACACACAGAAGAGAUCCUUGAGUAGAGAUGCCGCCUCGCAAUCUUCACUUCUGAGAACAAGGGAGUAAUCAUAGGCCAAUCUUGGGAAAUGCACCCAGAAAGGAAGUAUCUAGAAGUAUGGUUUAGAGGAAGACUGCAGUGGGGAAGAAUGAAAUAGAAGAACAAUAAGAACAGCAUCACUGGGGCAUAAACUGACAGAAGACGUGGAAGGGCUCACACUCCACGCAUGACACAAAAUUCCAAUCAGCUAUAUCCUCAGGGUAAAACUGAAUGGCAUAACAUCCUGAAUGUGUCCAAUCUCGUCUACAGCCUGAAUUGGACCAAAGACCAAAGUCCACACCCCUCAAUCUCCCCCAGUCUUUAGGUGUAAUAAUAUAAAUAGUUUAUAUCCACCAUA